rnacentral:misc_RNA from 1 species
AACUUUUAGCAACGGAUCACUUGGCUCUCGCAUCGAUGAAGAACGCAGCGAAAUGCGGUAAGUAAUGUGAAUUGCAGAAUUCAGUGAAUCAUCGAAUCUUUGAACGCACCUUGCACCCUUUGGCAUUCCGAAGUGUAUGCUCGUUUGAGUGUCAUUGUACUCUCACACUCCCGAUGCUUUUGGAUUGGGAGUGGUGGACUUGGGUGUUGCUGCUUUACUGUGGCUCACCUCAAAUGGAGUAGUGCAACUCUUGGUUGGACAUAGUACGGCGUGAUAAGUGUCUUCGCCGGCGCCCCAUUAGAGGGUGGCCGAUCGGGAGCUCUGUGCUUCAAACCGUCUUCGGACAACAUCUGACAACUUGACCUCAAAUCGAGUAGGACUACCCGCUGAACUUAAGCAUAUCAAUAAGCGGAGGCU